rfam:Cavia porcellus supercont2_1 genomic scaffold, whole genome shotgun sequence.
GGGGAUUUAGCUCAGUGGCAUAAGCUCCUGCCUCGUAAGCAGGCAGUUGUGACUUCGAUCCCCG